rnacentral:rRNA from 1 species
UACGUAGGGAGCAAGCGUUGUCCGGAAUCAUUGGGCGUAAAGCGCGCGUAGGUGGCCUCAUAAGUCCGCUGUGAAAGUCAAAGGCUCAACCUUUGAAAGCCGGUGGAUACUGUGGGGCUAGAGUACGGAAGAGGCGAGUGGAAUUCCUGGUGUAGCGGUGGAAUGCGCAGAUAUCAGGAGGAACACCAAUAGCGAAGGCAGCUCGCUGGGACGUUACUGACACUGAGGCGCGAAAGCGUGGGGAG